UUCGAGUGGCGGACGGGUGAGUAACGCGUGGGUAACCUGCCUUACACAGGGGGAUAACACCUGGAAACAGGUGCUAAUACCGCAUAAGCGCACAGGGCCGCAUGGCCCGGUGUGAAAAACUCCGGUGGUGUAAGAUGGACCCGCGUCUGAUUAGCUUGUUGGCGGGGUAACGGCCCACCAAGGCGACGAUCAGUAGCCGGCCUGAGAGGGUGGACGGCCACAUUGGGACUGAGACACGGCCCAAACUCCUACGGAAGGCAGCAG
rnacentral:rRNA from 1 species